UGGGGAAUCUUCCGCAAUGGACGAAAGUCUGACGGAGCAACGCCGCGUGAGUGAAGACGGCCUUCGGGUUGUAAAGCUCUGUGAUCCGGGACGAAAGAGCCUGAGGUGAAUAGCCUAAGGAAGUGACGGUACCGGAAAAGCAAGCCACGGCUAACUACGUGCCAGCCGCCGCGGUAAUACGUAGGUGGCAAGCGUUGUCCGGAAUUAUUGGGCGUAAAGCGCGCGCAGGCGGCUUCCUAAGUCCAUCUUAAAAGUGCGGGGCUUAACCCCGUGAUGGGAUGGAAACUGGGAAGCUGGAGUAUCGGAGAGGAAAGUGGAAUUCCUGGUGUAGCGGUGAAAUGCGUAGAGAUUAGGAAGAACACCGGUGGCGAAGGCGACUUUCUGGACGAAAACUGACGCUGAGGCGCGAAAGCGUGGGGAGCAAACAGG
rnacentral:rRNA from 1 species